rnacentral:lncRNA from 1 species
UAAAGAACACAUUAACGUACAAAUUAUAGAAUAAGCCACAAGACCAUUUUGUAAAUCAAUCAAUCAGCAACAUAGUUUGAGAAUAAAAACGCAAGAAGGAAGGAAGAGAGUUAGACCUCAAAUUAGCAAAUUGUCGCCUUUGAUAACUGGACAGAAAGCCGAAUGAAGUGUACUCUUAAACAAAUUUGAAAAUGAGCAAGGAACGGCUAUCGCACCCUCGAAACAAGAGCAGAACCAACAAAUCGCACAAUACCAGAGGACUCAAACUUAAACACGGUCUCUAAAUACUCAAUCAAACUCCAUGUUUCAAGUCAAAAUCCGAAAACCGUAAUGAAGAAAUAGAGAUAUCUUUUAUUUUGCUUUUUAUAUUUUUCUAUUUUGGAACUAAACUGAAGCACAAAAAAAAACGAUGGAGAAGCUGGAUGUUGGAAUGGAGUUGCAGAUUUUGUUGCUUCGUCGGAGAUGGACGACGUUUGGAGUGAAGUUCAGGUGGUCUGAUAGCUGGUCGACAAAAUAGCAGCUGGCGGCGGUUAUGGAUGGUCCAGCGGUGGCUGAUUUUGUGUCUUAGGGUUCAGGGAUGUUGUGAGGGAAGUGAGGCGCUGGUCGUUUGGUAUUGUCGGCGGUGAUUUGAUGACGUUGGUCGGAGAUGGUCGUUAGGAGAGGUGUUGGAGAGUGGUCGUUCAUGGUAGUAUGAAGAAGAAGAGAUGACGGGGAGCAGCCGCGGCUGGUUUCCACCGUGGAGGGUUGUUUAGCGGCGGCUUCUGGUGGUUAGGGUUUUGGUAUGGAAGAAAGAGAUGAAGUAGCUAGGGUUUUGCUUAUUUCCUGCAUUAUUUUUUUGGUGCUAGGGAUUAGGUCUUGUAUUGUAUAAUGUGAAGAAGAUGAAGUGUAGGGUUUUUCUUUGAAGAAGAAAGGGUAUGGGCCAAGUCUUGUAGGGCUUGAAAUUAGGCCUCUUGCAAGAAUAUAAUUGGGCUAAAAAAAUAAUUCUACAAAAUUAGGCUAAGAAAAGGUUAAAAAUUCAAUUCAAAUACCUAUAAAAUAUAAAAACUCUUAAUUGAUUUUGAUAAACUAUUAAUAUUAAAAAUAAAAGCUAAAAGUGAAAGUUGAAACUAUUUUUGAUAUUUUCAAGAAUUAUAUUAAAACCAAAAAUAGGUUCAAACUAAUAUAUCCGCCUAAAAAUAUCUAACGUGAAUUAAGUAAAGAAAUAUGAAUCUAUUGUUUAAAUUUUCAAUUUUUGUUCUUAAAAUAAUAUAAAAGUUAAAAUUAGUUAAAAUAAAUAUAUUUAGCCUAAGUUAAAUAUUUUACGUUAAAAUGGAUGAAAUUUCGGAGAGGGUAAAAAAUCAUGUAUCUACAGCUGCCCCUCUUUGACUGUAAAUACGAAGUAUUUUCAGACAAAGAAAGACUAGAUAGGUUUUCUGACUCGACCCUUAUUUUAGGAGACCAGAACUAAGAUGAAGGAGAAUGUGACCGAGCCCUGGUAUCUGAGCUGCCUACAUAUCCUUGGUUAUAAAGGAAUCAGGCCACGUGUAGUUCAGAAGUAAAUGAGAUAUGGAGUGACAGAGGUGGAGAGCCGAUUGAGGUGCCAUCGAAGUUCCGAUCCGCGGUCCUGUUAUUACAGCAAAAUCAAAAAAGAAAAAUACUAACUAAGCCUGUCAACUAUGAGUUACGAAAUUCCUAUCUAUAAGUCUUCUGAAGCAUGAUCUUGAAUCUUGAAUAGUUCUUCAUGCAGACUUCAGAUAUGAGCCUUGACGCUCACUAGCUGCAGGUGCUAGUUCAGUCUCCUUCAGCUUUUUGGAUCAGAACCGGACACGCCAUGCUUGUGAAUUUAGUCAUUUCUCGAUCAAUCCACCUCUUUUCUUGGCUUCUGCAAUUUGGAUUCAUUUUUUUCUUCUUUUUCAGCUACUUCUAACUUGAAUUGAAUUCUAAAAUAACUUCCCUUGUUCUCCAAGUGGGUGCUUGCUACUGAUUUGAAACUUGACAUGACUCUGAAAUGUCUUUCCUCAUUUUCCAGGCGGGCGCCUGCAAUCAAAACAACAAAACAAACAAAAUUUUCUGCCCCAGUUUGCUAGGAAGAUUUGUAAGAGAAAUAGUAAACCACUUAUGCUAUUGAUGCAAUGAUGAGAGUAAGCUAAAGACUCGACUAGGAUGUGUGUCUCCUCUGAGUAAAACCAAGAAAUUUUGACUAGCAAGUGCAUCUGCUAAGAAUAGAAAUCUCUUGUGAGUAAAACCCAAAAAUUUUGACUAGCAAGUGCGCCUGCUAAGAAUAGAAGCUGAAUUACCCAAACUAGGAAGUGUGUCUCCUAGGGAUGUAACUUGAAUGAACCAAAACUAGGAAGUGCGUCUCCAAGGGGUAAAACUUGAAUAACUCAAACUAGGAAGUGCGUCUCCUAGGAAUGAACUUACAUGACCCGAACUAGGAAGUNNNNNNNNNNNNNNNNNNNNNNNNNNNNNNNNNNNNNNNNNNNNNNNNNNNNNNNNNNNNNNNGGGGUAAAACUUGAAUAACUCAAACUAGGAAGUGCGUCUCCUAGGGGGAAAACUUGAAUGAACCAAAACUAGGAAGUGUGUUUCCUAGAGAUGAACUUACAUGACCCGAACUAGGAAGUGCGUCUCCUAAGGGUGUAACUUGAAUGAACCUAAACGUGUGAAAUAAGUGAAUUUAUCCAGUUGAGGCAUUCUUGAUUGAUUGAGACAAAACGAUUCCCUCAAUACAGCUUAACUCCGUCAAGCCUGUACGCGAUGUGCAUCUCCUAGGAAUGAACUUACAUGACCCAAACAAGUAAGUGCGUCUCCAAAGGGUAAAAUUUUAAUUUAGGAAGUGCGUCUCCUAAAACGCAAUAUAUCCUACAAGACCAAAACUAGGAAGUGCGUCUCCUAGGAAUAAAACCUCAAUUUAGGAAGUGCAUCUCCUAAAACGAAAAUAUAACCUGACAGAGCCAUACUAAGAAGUGCGUCUCCUAGGGGUGAAAUUUCAAUAACUCAAAUUAGGAAGUGCAUCUCCUAGGAAUAAACUUAAAUGAACCAAAUAGGAAGUGCGUCUCCUAGUGGCAAAAUCUUAAUUUAGGAAGUGCUUCUCCUAAAACAAAUAUAACCUGAAGGACCCAGACUAGAAAGUGCGUCUCCUAGGGGGUAAAAUUUCAACGACUCAAACUAGGAAGUGCGUUUCCUAUGAAUAAACUUAAACGAACCAAACUAGGAAGUGCGUCUCCUAGUGGUAAAAUCUCAACGACUCAAACCAGGAAGUGUUUCUCCUAAAAAUGAAAAUAUAACCUGAAUGACCCAGACUAGGAAGUGUGUCUCCUAGGGGUGAAACUUCAAUGACUAAAACUAGGAAGUGCGUCUCCUAGAAAUGAAUUUGAAUAACCAAAGCUAGGAUGUGCGUCUCCUAAUAAGUAUAAUCUAAAAGCCCCUACUAGGAAGUGCCUCUCCUAACGGUAUAACUUCGUUGACUCCAACUAGGAUGUGCGUCUCCUAAGGAUGAAUUUGAUUAACUAACAUUAGGAAGUGCGUCUCCUAAAAAUAAAAAUAUAGCUUGAAAUAACCAGCCUAGAAAGUGCAUCUCCUAGGAGUAAAAUCUCAAUUUAGGAAGUGCGUCUCCUAAAACAAAAUAUAACUUGAAAUGCCCAGGCUAGGAAGUGUGUCUCCUAGGGGUGAAACUUCAAUGACUCAAACUAGGAAGUGUGUCUCCUUAGAAUAAACUUAAAUGAACCAAAUAGGAAGUGCGUCUCCUAAUGGUAAAAUCUCAAUUUAGGAAGUGCGUCCCCUAAACAAAUAUAACCAGAAAGGCCCAAACUAGGAAGUACUUCUCCUAGGGGUGAUGUGUGAUAUUCUUAAUAGCCUUCGUACAAGAGGAAUUGGGACAUUACACCUGGAAAAUACAAGCUUUGUUAUAAACAUAGCCUUCAUCAUUGUUUCAGACAAAGAAAACUUGUGAGUUUAAAACACGGUGGUUAGUUUGUGGCCUUGACCUUGAAGGCGGUUGCUUCUGCACUUGCUGAGGUAACUUUUAUUUCAACUUGGACGACCUUGAAUGUUGUCGACUACCCACUUUCUUUCAAACCUUAUCACAAGAAAACACCUCCGAUCCAUUCAAUCCCAAUAUCUUUUACCUGUUGCAUUAAGCUUAUGAAUUGACAUUUACUGAAUCUUGCAUUUCACAUGAAUCCCAAAGCAUUUUAAUUGCUAUCAACUUGGUGUGCAUAUUGUUCUUUCCUGACUUAUGCCGCUUUGAUGUGCUUGUCAGACUCGGCUUUGUUCAAUUGGAAAGCUGGUGGUAAAUUUUGAAGUUAUUUCUCACUUGUUUCGAUAAAACAGACUCAAAAGGGAUUCAAACAAGACAAGCGGAACAAAAUAAGGGGAAAAUGAGAAAAGAUGGUAUCAAACAAGCAAAAAUUAUUACCUAGGAAAAAGAACAAAGAAGUAACUAAGCUGUUUGAAGGCCAUCUCCACUGACCCAUGACAUGCAUUUUGGAUUAGACGACCUGAUCUCUCAAGCAAGUCUAAUAUUUAACUCUUGUUGUACCUCUUCGCUGUGAAACUGGGCUUCAGCGCUUCAAUUUUCCCAUCUGAUCCACAAUUCUCAAUCGACUUGUAGUGCCAUGAAGGGCGUUUACCAUCAAGCCUCUCUCAUUUUGUUCUUAUCUCAACUCACCAUCGCGUUACGAUGCCUAGAGGGUUUUCACCGAUAAGACUCUCUCAUUUUAUCAUUUUCUCUCUUUGCAAUGAGAAUAAGGUAUUACCCAUGAUGUAGAAAGAUCAUACUUUUACCACACACUUGAUUUAGCAUCCUCAAAGAUUGGUCAGAAGGUCUUUCUUUGGACCAUAGUGUAGGAUUUUGGACAGGGUUGGAAAGAAAGGGUGACAUAAAGGCUCAAAAUAAUUUAAGAUGAAAGGGUUCAAAAUAACAACUUUUGGAAUCAGGCCUUUCGGCAAAAUUAAAAAUUCUUCCCCAGUUUCUCGGAGUUUGGGGGGAUUAUUUUCUCUCUUUUUAUGGGGUUUCUAAGAAAAUCUGCCCCAGUAUUGAUUUUGGGGAAUUAUGAAAUAUUUUAUAUCGUGUGACCGAACCGUGAGGCUGCCUACGUAUCUUGUGGUGACAAGAAUCAGGUCGAACGUAGUUCAAACGGCAAAGUUGCUUGUUUUUUUUCUUUUCUAUCUUUUUGUUCUUUCUUUUUCUUCUUUUCUCUUUUCUUUUUUUCCUUUUUUCUUUUCUCCUUCUUUUUUUCCCUUUUUCUUCUUUUCUCUUUUCUUUUUUUCCUUUUUUCUUUUCUCCUUUUUUUUUCCCUUUUUCUUCUUUUUCUCUUUUUCCUUUUCUUUUCUUGUUCGUAAUUCCAUUUCUGAUUCCAAAAGAGGGGUAUGAAAUAAAAAAAAAUUAGGGCUCAAAAUGGGUAGCAAAGGAUAAAAGUGUUUGGGUAGCAAAAUAAAAUGCCUUUCGCCAUACCAAACUUAAAAGGUGACAAAAAUGGUGUUCAGAAGGAAAUAAACUCAAAGUCGCCACCUGACAUUGAAUUUCGGUGUGCCAGGCCACCGAUUCUUAAAAAAUAUUUUCCUUUUAAAAUACUUGGACUCAAAACUAAGUCCGCACCAGAGAUUCGGAUAAGGGGGUUCAUUUGACUCGGGGAGAAAGUGUUAGGCACUAGCCAUGUCCCCUGAAGGUCACCGUUGUGUACUCGAUCGAGCUGGCUUUUAAAAUAUUCAAAUUGAGGCAAAAACACGCAAAAAGAGACUAAACAAUCGAAGAGGCUCGAGGUCGUCCCCACCUAAUAAAGGAAAAACAAAAGAAAAAAUAAAGUACUAUUCUAUGCUUCCUCAAGUUACUUCGUCUUUGGCCUUCAUUUACAUUCACUUCGAGGCAUACCCCGGAUAAUUAUAUAUACAAACUUUACGGGGUAUUUCCCGGACAAAUUUAACUACGGAAACGACCUCUCCCAUAAAAUUGACAAAAAUCCUAAAGUUUGCCUACCCAGGUGUGGUUGGCAUAAACAUGCCAUUAGCGAACCCAAGUAAAUCAAGAUAAAACAAUAAGAUUAUUGCCCGAACCCCAUAGUUCAUCUCAAGCCCAACUCCGAUUAUCAACAUCAUCCCUUAUAGCACACACACUAGUGAAUUUAACCCAAUCACUCAAACUUAUGGAAUACAAUAAAGCUACAAAAGUAGCAGAAAUACUAUUAAGCCCAAACCUCUUUCUUGUUUCCAAAUAUGGUCCAUUUUAAUUCAAUUUUUAUAACUAAACCCCAACAACUAUAAAUUAAAUUAACUCUUAUUGCCCGAACCUCUUUCUUGUUUCCAAAUAUUGUCCAUUUUAAUUCAAUUUUUAUUACUAAACCCCAACAACUAUAAAUAAAAUUAACUCUUAUAUUCUUAGCUAAAGAAGUAAUGAUUCAAAGUAUGAUAUCAAUUCUGUUAAGAACACAUUAACGUACAAAUUAUAGUAUAAGCCAUAAUACCAUUUUGUAAAUCAAUCAAUCAGCAACACAGUUUGAGAAUAAAAAUGCAAGAAGGAAGGAAGAGAGUUAGACCUCAAAUUAGCAAAUUGUCGCCUUUGAUAAUUGGACCGAAAGCCGAACGACGUGUACGCUUAAACAAAUUUGAAAAUGAGUAAGGAACGGCUAUCGCACCCUCGAAACAAGAGCAGAACCAAUAAAUCGCACAACACCGGAGGACUCAAACUUAAACACGGCCACUAAAUACUCAAUCGAACUCCAUGUCUCAAGUCAAAAUCCGAAAACCGAAAUGAAGAAAUAGAGAUAUCUUCUUUUUUUUUGCUUUUUAUAUUGUUCUGUUUUGGAACUAAACUGAAACACAAAAAAAACAAUGGAGAAGCUGGAUGUUGGAAUGGAGUUGCAGCUGUUGUUGUUUCAUCGGAGAUGGACGACGUUUGGAGUGAAGUUCAGGUGGUCUGAUAGCUGGUCGAUGAAAUAGCAGCUGGCGGAGUUAUGGAUGGUCUUGCGGUGGCUGCUUUUGUGUCUUAGGGUUCAGGGAUGUUGUGAGGAAAGUAAGGCGCUGGUCGUUUGGUAUUGUUGGCGGCGAUUUGAUGAUGUUGGUCGGAGAUGGUCUUUUGGAGAGGUGUUGGAGAGAGGUCGUUUAUGGUGGUAUGAAGAAGAAAAAGAAGAAGAAGAGAUGAGAGGGAGCAGCGUCGGCUGGUUUCCGCCGUGAAGGGCUAUUUCGUGGCGGCUUCUGGUGUUAGGGUUUUGGUACUGAAGAAAGAGAUGAAGUAGCUCGCGUUUCGCUUAUUUCCUCCAUUGUUGUUUUGGUGUUAGGGUUUAGGUCUUGUAUUGUGUAAUGUGAAGAAGAUGAAGUGUAGGGUUUUUCUUUGAAGAAGAAUGGGUAUGGGCCAAGUCUUGUAGGGCUUGAAAUUGGGCCUCUUGCAAGAAUAUAAU